GUCUGUGGUGCUACAGCUCAGUUGAUAGAGUAUGAGUCUCUUAAUCUCAGGGUUGUGGGUUCGAGACCCAUGUUGGGCA